ensembl:lncRNA
UUUAUGGUGGGAGCGGGACCCCAAUCUGAACCAACUACCAGGUCUACGCUACAAGUCUGAGCUAAAAAACGUCCCGUAGUAACAUAUGGUUGGAUUCACAGUACAGACACAUCUGGUCGCUGAGUGGACCGAACAGUUCACUUGUAUUAAUCUCUGUGUGAAAACAGACCAAAGCACAGGGAAAAGCUACAAGUUUACAAACUCAUCACUUAUUUAGACCAGAGUAAACGAAUGAUAGGUGUGAAAUCCCCCUAAACUAACAAUAGAAAUCAAUAUUUAGUCAAGCUGGAGAUGGUACGUCGCACUUUAAAUGAAAUGACAGAUCUUCCAAAAUCUGUAUUUUCAGAUUGUCCCAAGUAAUCUGAGCUGUUUUUGUUUUUUAUUAAGGAAAACUGGAAUCAUUUUUUUCUGUGCAAUAAUUUCAGUUUAUUUAAUGAAGCUGUGCAAAAUAUUAGUCUGGAAAAACACAUUUGAGCUCUGUUUUAAAAACUGCAACCAAAUCAGUAUUAGAAUGACUACAGGUUUCAUAAUCUGAAGCCACAAUCAGAUCAUUAGUCAGCAAGAUUUUUUUUUAAUUUUAUUUUAUUUUUUUUAUUCUAAUCUUUCCUGACAAUAAACUGCAGAAAACUUCAAAAAGUGCAAUUUGGGUGAAACUUUCAAGGCUCAUGUCACCAUGUGAGAUAUAUGGCUGCUGAAAACAAGUGAUAACACAUGACCGGCCUCCUUUCUACCUGCACUUUGAUACCAGGGUUAUUCUCCAUAUCCUGGUAUCAUACUCCUGCAGUUUAAAUGUGUUUUUCAACCACAAAAAUAUUUAGAUCUCAGAAAUCCUGGAAAGAAUACAUAAAUAAAAAAGCACCAAAUUUCAUCCCAGUUGAUGAGCUUUAAUGUCCUGUUACUGUACAAACACCCACGGUGUUAAGAUAAAGUUAUGAGUAGCUUCAAUAAAUGCACUGGCGUUAUUGUACAAACAAAAAUGAGCUGAUUCUGAGGAGGUCUGCUGGGAACUUUUCUCAUAUUUUGCUGAUUUUACAUAAAAUCUGUCUCACUUCUUGUUGUACUUUCUAACCUCUUACUGUCCAUUGAGUAGUUAAGGGUUCAGUCAGAUCUUCCUUUUCUGUUUUAUCUUAUAACAGAUGAACUUUGAGGCCAAAAUUCCUUUAAGAGAGUUGACUUGAGAGGCCCACGUGCUGAAACCAUGUUUGUUAACAUGCUUAAAAUGCAACUGCAUCACUGUGACUGAUACAAGGUUAAAGAUCAGUAAUCACGUUAAAAAUCUGAGAUUACAGUUUUUCCCCCAAAUAGUCACAAUUAUGAUUUUUACCAUAAGUAGCCCUGCCACAGCUACAGAGGUUGUUCAUAUUUCUGCUGACACUGUUAAAUCGAUCUUUUUCAUGUUUCUGACUCUGCGAGGAACAAACGCACAACUACACUAAUCUUUGUUUCCUGACAACCUGCAGCCGAAGUAAAAUCUGCUGUUGUUUGUUUUGCAUCUCAAGAAAAAGCGGGCAUGAAAAUUAAAGUAUUUAAGUGUAUUUUAGUUUCAUUAAACCACUUCUGAACAUCUGGAAUAUUCUGUUCAGUGUGAAAGAGCAAGUUUACGAAGACCAAAAUUAUUCUGUAUUUUUACUAUGUUGGGAUUUUUUAUUUUUUUAUUUUGAGGGACUGUUACUAAUUACAUCCACAUGCACCUCUUUUAAUGUGUAUUUAUUUCUAUCCUGUGUGUGUGUGUGUGUGUGUGUGUGUGUGUGUGUGUGUGUGUGUGUGUGUGUGUGUGUGUGUGUGUGUGUGUGUGUGUGUGUGUGUGUGUGUGUGUGUGUGUGUGUGUGUGUGUGUGUGUGUGUGUGUGUGUGUGUGUGUGUGUGUGUGUGUUUGAAGGGAGGGGGUGAUGUUCUCUAUACUCUCAAUGUCUUACAUCAGUUAUAUGCAUGGAAUGGAUUUUGUAAGAUGAUUUUUGUAAAACGUCUCCAGUGUUAAGACUUGUAAAUAUGUUUUUACAUGUUUGCAGACGUGCAUUAAAAUAAACAAUGGGAUAAA